UGAGUAACACGUGGGUGAUCUGCCCCUAACUUCGGGAUAAGCUUGGGAAACUGGGUCUAAUACCGGAUAGGACAAUCGUUUAGUGUCGGUUGUGGAAAGUUUUUUCGGUUAGGGAUGAGCCCGCGGCCUAUCAGCUUGUUGGUGGGGUAAUGGCCUACCAAGGCGUCGACGGGUAGCCGGCCUGAGAGGGUGGACGGCCACAUUGGGACUGAGAUACGGCCCAGACUCCUACGGGAGGCAGCAGUGAGGAAUCUUGGACAAUGGGGGAAACCCUGAUCCAGCCAUGCCGCGUGAGUGAUGAAGGCCCUAGGGUUGUAAAGCUCUUUCAGCGAGGAGGAUAAUGACGUUACUCGCAGAAGAAGCCCCGGCUAACUUCGUGCCAGCAGCCGCGGUAAUACGAAGGGGGCUAGCGUUGUUCGGAAUCACUGGGCGUAAAGCGCACGUAGGCGGAUUGAUAAGUUAGGG
rnacentral:rRNA from 1 species